rnacentral:rRNA from 1 species
UGGGGAAUAUUGCACAAUGGGCGCAAGCCUGAUGCAGCCAUGCCGCGUGUGUGAAGAAGGCCUUCGGGUUGUAAAGCACUUUCAGCGAGGAGGAAGGUGGUGAACUUAAUACGUUCAUCAAUUGACGUUACUCGCAGAAGAAGCACCGGCUAACUCCGUGCCAGCAGCCGCGGUAAUACGGAGGGUGCAAGCGUUAAUCGGAAUUACUGGGCGUAAAGCGCACGCAGGCGGUUUGUUAAGUCAGAUGUGAAAUCCCCGGGCUCAACCUGGGAACUGCAUUUGAAAACUGGCAAGCUAGAGUCUCGUAGAGGGGGGUAGAAUUCCAGGUGUAGCGGUGAAAUGCGUAGAGAUCUGGAGGAAUACCGGUGGCGAAGGCGGCCCCCUGGACGAAGACUGACGCUCAGGUGCGAAAAGCGUGGGGAGCAAAACAGGAUUAGAUACCCUGGUAGUCCACGCUGUAAAACGAUGUCGAUUUUGGAGGUUGUGCCCUUGAGGCGUGGCUUCCGGAGCUAACGCGUUAAAUCGACCGCCUGGGGAGUACGGCCGCAAGGUUAAAAACUCAAAAGGAAUUGACGGGGUCAUAGCUGUUUCCU